AAUGAACGUUGGCGGCGUGGAUUAGGCAUGCAAGUCGCGCGAGAAGUCAUUUAGCUUGCUAAAAGACGGACAGCGGCGGAAGGGAGAGUAACGCGUGGUUAUGUACCCUCGAGACCGGGAUAGUGUCGGGAAACUGGCAGUAAUACCGGAUAACAUCUUCGGAUCAAAUGGUGUGAUUCCGCUCGAGGAUCGGACCGCGUACUAUUAGCUAGUUGGAGGGGUAAUGGCCCACCAAGGCUUAGAUGGUUACCGGGUGUGAGAGCAUGGCCCGGCUCACUGGGACUGAGACACUGCCCAGACAUCGACGGAUGGCUGCAGUCGGGAAUCUUCGGCAAUGGACGAAAGUCUGACCGAGCGACGCCGCGUGCGGGAUGAAGGCCUUCGGGUUGUAAACCGCUGUCAGUUAGGAGGAAAUCCAUGAGGGUUCUCUCUCAUGGUUGACCGAUUUUCAGAGGAAGGACGGGCUAAGUUCGUGCCAGCCGCCGCGGUAAUAC
rnacentral:rRNA from 1 species